ensembl:lncRNA PPIEL peptidylprolyl isomerase E like (pseudogene)
GGGCUUCCGGCGGAAGCGCUGGAAGCAAGAUGGCGGCCGCCGAGAGGGUUCACAAAGGGUAGGGUGGUGUGGAGCAAGGCAGGGUCCUCGCAGGCAGUGCCAAGAUUGAGCUGGGGGUGGGCAGAGUGGGCGGGGUGCGGACCCAUGGCCCUACGCAUCCUGGGCCAGGUCUCUUGUGGUGCUUCACGCUCUCGACCUGUGAGUGGUGCCUGCUAGAGCUGCCCAGAUCCCUUUUCCCUACCCCUUCUGACCCUGGACCCAGAGUGGUGGUUGCGAUCUGCUACCGUGACGUCAGCCCUCAUUCGUUCGUUCCACAAACUCCACAGCUCUGGUCCAUUAGAGGAAGGAGGUCCCAGAAUAGCUGGGAAAUUACGAGAACAGCCUCACUGCACGAGUUGGUGAAUGCUGUGAUGGCGAUUGUAUGAUGGACGGUGAUGUUGAAACCAGACUGGGGAAUGACCGCCCCAUCCGGAGAGAAAAGCACCAAGGAUUCUCUUUUGUUGAAUUUGAGUUGGCAGAGGAUGUUGCAGCAGCUGUCAACAACAUGUUUGGUCAGAUGAAGACUGGGUGGAGAAGUUUGCUGGGAAGAGGAUAAAGAGGAAGGUGGUUGAGACUUCCCAAAGCAGAAAGCCAGGAGGGAGAGCCCACUGCUAAAAAAGGCCUAGUCAAAUCCUCAGGUGUACAUGGACAUCAAGAUUGGGAACAAGCCGGCUGGCUGCAUCCAAACCCUCCUGCGUUCCGACGUCGUGCCCAUGACCACAGAGAAUUUUCUCUACAUGUGCACCCAUUUAAAGGACUCGGCUUCAAGGGAAGCAGCUUCCACCGCAUUAUCCCCCAGUUCAUUUGCCAGGGCAGUGAUUUCACAAACCACGGUGGCACCAGGGGUCUGCGCAGGCAUGGCACUAAGUGUCCCAUGGCACAUUUGGCCCUCAUGGAGGCCUCAAAAGGGCAGGACCAGCACCCUCUUCUACGGAGGAAGGAACGGGCACAGCAGAAACAAGGAGAGUCAGCAAUUACCAGCCAGCCAAGGUCCUGGAAGCUGACGUAGAGCUCGUGCCGACGGCAGACCUGCCGGCCGUGGGAGCCGCGGACGUCAUCUGCAGGGACAGAAGGGGCAAGGUCUUUUCUGGGGUUCCUGCUGUGUGCAGCUACUAUGGGGUACCAGGGUGGGGGAUGCCCUGAUGAGCACAUUUGUCAAAUAAAUGAAUGACAGGAAACCA